rnacentral:tRNA from 2 species
GAGAAGAAAGUUUUUUAAAUAUUCGGUUUCGGCCCGAAAGAGGGGCUAAAAGGCCCUCUUCUCU